rnacentral:rRNA from 1 species
AUUGAACGCUGGCGGCAUGCCUUACACAUGCAAGUCGAACGGCAGCACGGGUGCUUGCCCCUGGUGGCGAGUGGCGAACGGGUGAGUAAUACAUCGGAACAUGUCCUGUAGUGGGGGAUAGCCCGGCGAAAGCCGGAUUAAUACCGCAUACGAUCUACGGAUGAAAGCGGGGGACCUUCGGGCCUCGCGCUAUAGGGUUGGCCGAUGGCUGAUUAGCUAGUUGGUGGGGUAAAGGCCUACCAAGGCGACGAUCAGUAGCUGGUCUGAGAGGACGACCAGCCACACUGGGACUGAGACACGGCCCAGACUCCUACGGGAGGCAGCAGUGGGGAAUUUUGGACAAUGGGCGAAAGCCUGCUCCAGCAAUGCCGGGUGUGUGAAGAGGGCCUUCGGGUUGUAAAGCACUUUUGUCCGGAAAGAAAUCCUUGGCCCUAAUACGGUCGGGGGAUGACGGUACCGGAAGAAUAAGCACCGGCUAACUACGUG